CUACGGGGGGCAGCAGUAGGGAAUUUUCGGCAAUGGGCGAAAGCCUGACCGAGCAAUGCCGCGUGAACGAUGAAGGCCUUCGGGUUGUAAAGUUCUGUUAUCAGGGAAGAACAUACGGAUUAGGAAAUGACUCCGUACUGACGGUACCUGAUCAGAAAGCUCCGGCUAACUACGUGCCAGCAGCCGCGGUAAUACGUAGGGAGCAAGCGUUAUCCGGAAUUAUUGGGCGUAAAGCGUGCGUAGGCGGUUCGUUAAGUCAAAUCUGAAAGCCCACAGCUUAACUGUGGAGGGCGAUUUGAAACGGGCGAACUUGAGUACGGCAGAGGUUAGCGGAAUUCAAUGUGUAGCGGUGGAAUGCGUAGAUAUAUUGAGGAACACCAGUGGCGAAGGCGGCUAACUGGACCGGAACUGACGCUGAGGCACGAAAGCGUGGGGAGCAAACAGGAUUAGAUACCCCUGUAGUC
rnacentral:rRNA from 1 species